UACGUAGGUGGCAAGCGUUAUCCGGAUUUACUGGGUGUAAAGGGCGUGUAGGCGGGAAAGCAAGUCAGAUGUGAAAACCACGGGCUCAACCUGUGGCCUGCAUUUGAAACUGUUUUUCUUGAGUACUGGAGAGGCAGACGGAAUUCCAUGUGUAGCGGUGAAAUGCGUAGAUAUAUGGAGGAACACCGGUGGCGAAAGCGGCUCUCUGGCCUGUAACUGACACCGAGGCUCGAAAGCGUGGGGAGCAAACAGG
rnacentral:rRNA from 1 species